GUGGUUGUUUUGAAAUAUUCUAUCGUCUUGCUCUGCACUGAAGUCUGUGGUCAUCGGUUACAGUCAUCUUUGUAUUUGUUUCAUAUUUAAGUACUACUCAGCUUCAUUAUAAACAGAUUGUUUACUUUAAACUCAUAAAGUUCACCGUGGAAUUGAAGAGAUUUCCUGCUGUAAAAUGUCCACAAUUAAUUGUAAGAAUAUUCAACACAACAGAUUGACAUUGAAAUACAUCUGCAAGUUCCCCAGCUGUUCAUCUAGCUGUUACGUGCGUUCAACGGAGGAAAUUUGUUACAAGCAUUUCUACAGGUUUCCAAAACAACCUCAAAAGUUGCUUCUAAAGUGGAAGUGUGUUUGUAAACUGAUGUGAACUGUGCUUCUUAUUUUGUUUGUGAAAAUCAGUUUUUCGAAGAAGAUUUUAUGAAUAAAAGUAGGCAUAGGCUAAACAGGGGUGUGUUUCCAUACACGUGACAGGUGUUCCUUGUGAAAUUGCCAUUAAAUUGGUAGUGAAUCAGGUGACACUGUUGUUAAUAGUGAAUUGGGCCUACCAAGCACUAGUGGUGCUAUGGCAACUGUUCAUUUUGCAGCUGCUAUUACCAGAAGUGAAAGUGGUGUUAAUGAACAACAAAGCCUUAGUUGUGCUGUGGCAAAUAGUUCUCAUGUAGGUGUUUCUACCAGAAGUGGACCAGGUGAAACUGGUGUUAAUAGUGAAUUGCACUUACCAAGCACUAGUGGUACCAUGGAAAAUCUUUACUAUACAGGUGCCAAAACCAGAUGUAAAACUGGUGUUAGAAAAUUACCUAGCACUAGUUGUGCUGAGCACAGUAAUUCAUUGAGUGAUGCACCUCUUAAAUUUUUUAUCUGCCCUCAAAAUGAAUCUGCAUUCUUAUCUGAAACAUUUAGUAAUGAGGAAAGUGGGAUUUUAGGUACAGGGGUUUCAAAAGUAGACUUAACUCCAACAAAAUCAAAAAUGUACAAGAUUCAUAGGAUUAAUCCAACAAGGCUAUCAAAACUGAAAGCAAAGCUACCUCAUGAAAAAUCAGAACUGAAAGCACUUGGAAAUUUGUAUGACAGCAAUACUUUCUCUUUCAUAGAAUCUAAUUUAAACUCUGUUGCCAAAGAUUGCAUAAACAGCCAAUUACGAAAUGCCCAUCAAUGAGCAAAUGCAAGGCAGUGGACACCCGAGGACAAAGUAUUUCCUUUAUCCUUACACAAAUGCAGUCCCUGCUUAUACAAAUAUUUGUCAGUUCAUUUUUAUCUUCCUUCUGUGAGGUAUCUGAAAUGUCUGUUGACUUCUAUACCUUUUGAACCAGGAUUGAAUACUUUGGUCAUGGAUGUAAUGAAAGCAGAAGUUGAAGUAAUGAACAACAGUGACAAAUAUUGUGCUUUGUUGCUUGAUGAAAUGUCUUUAGAAAGAGGGUUGUAUUAAAAUGGAAGCAAACAAGAAAUUUCAGGGUUUCAAGGUUUAGGGCUUUUAGGGAGGUCAAAUGUCCAUGCAAAUCAUGCAUUAGUUUUCAUGGUUAGAGGCAUACAUAAUAGCUGGAAGCAGAUUGUUGUUUAUUAUUUCACUCACAACUCAGUUUCAAGUAUCACUUUAAAAAGUCUUAUUACCUAUGUCAUAGGGCUAAAGGUAAUUUGUACAGUUUGUGACCAGGGUGCAACCAACCAGAGAGCACUGAAGGAACUCUGCUGUGAGAAAUCUACUGAUCCAGUCCAUUUCAUUUUGUAGUCAGUGAUGAACCUAUUGGAAUCAUUUAUUAUGUCCCACAUCUAUUAAAAAUACUAGAAAUGCUCUGCUAGGAAAUAAAAUACAGUUUAGGUUUAAAAAAGAGGCCAGUUUUGAAUAUGUUCACAGGGCUUUCUUCUGGAUCAGCAGAAGAUAUUUAAGACAUUGCCAAAACUACAUAGGAAUCUUUUGAAUUAAAGGAUUCUUUUACUAAAAUGAAAGUCAAGGUAGGUGCAGCCCAGCUUAGUCAUACAGUUGCUGCAGAUAUUGAAACUUAUGUGGCAUUUAAUAUCUUACCUGCUGUGGCAAUAUACAGCAUUUGUUGAAAAGAUGGAUUGUUUAUUUGAUUCACUGAACAGUUCCUAUUGUUAUCCACAAGAUGGCAAGUCUUAUAAGUGUGCCCUCUCUGCAGUGUCCCCACAUAUACAGUCUGUUAAACGAAAUGGAAAAUUGGAAAGUGUUGGAGCUAGGCCCAGGGAGAGAUAAGACAAAUAUGUUCAGUUUCAUGAGUGGGUGGCAAACUACAAUAAGUUCACUGAUGUUCAUUUGGAACAGAUUUAAAAAAUGGCUUUAAUUUUUUAAGCAUGAGGGCUUUCAAUCAAGACCCAGUGGAGAAUGUAUUUUCUUGUGUGAGGCAGCAUGGUGUUGCAAAUACCAACCCAACUUGCUUUCAGUUCAAAGCAGCAUUGAAAAUAGUUAUAGUCAAUAACACAGCCUUACCUACAAAUUCACUAGGUAAUUGUGAGGAUGAUAGAUGCAUGCCAUUAAGCAAUUUAAGGCAAUUUUUGGGAGCUAGUGAUGACAACUUUCUUGAUUCCACAACAGACCAUUCCAUUAUGGAUCAGAGUGAUUCAUAUUGUUCCCUUGCUGAUAAUGAAGCUGCUGCUGGUAGUGGUGGGGCUGAUGUAAGAAAUGACAGGCAAGCACUAGCAUAUGCAGCUGGUUACAUUCUACGAAAUAUGGGUGUAACACCUGAAACCAACUGUAGUGACUGUAAAACAACUCUGUUCUCACCAACACCCACAGAGCAUCAUUUAUUUACAAGUUUCAAAGAAUAUGAUGCUUUAAACCCAAAAUUAUUGUAUGCUAGUGACAGCUUAAUGUCCUUUGUAGCAAAUGUUCGUAGUCAGUUGUAUGCAUUCUUAGAUAAAUGUGGACACUAGGAACAAUUGGAGAAUACAUUUUAUUCACUGUUUAAGUUUCCAGAGGAUAUAACAUUUUGGGAAAAAAAAAAUGGUUCAAAUGGCGCUGAGCACUUUGGGACUUAAACUUCUGAGGUCAUCAGUCCCCUAGAACUUAAAACUACUUACACCUAACUACCCUAAGGACAGCACACACAUCCAUGUCCAAGGCAGGAUUCGAACCUAGUGGUCGCGUGGUUCAAGACUGUAGUGCCUAGGAACGCUCGGCCACUCUGGCCAGCUAACAUUUUGCAAGGCCCAUUUUUCUGAACAGUAUAUUUUAAGACAAUGUGUACCUCUAUUGCUUUACAAGUAUGUGAAAGAUUGGAAACACACCAUCAGUAAUAAAAGACUUGAUAUUGUUAAAGACAAAUUCAGUAAAUGGUUUAAAGGUUUAUAACUUGUGCGCUUGAGAAAUAAAAAGUAAGUUUUUUUUCAUUUCACUGUUUUUAUCCAUCUUUCCUGCUUUUGGUACUUGAUAUUGAUGUUUUCUUUUUUGUAUUGAAGCAGUUACAGUAGUAAGAUGUAGGAACCUUUUUAAGAAAUUAAUGGUCAGUAGUGCAAGUUUGCUGGGCAGUUACUCAGAACUUAUAGUCCUGAAACUGAAUUGUAACAAACUUUAGAAUUCUUCAUUAAUUAAUACUGUGAUAAAUUUAUUAAUUGAACCUCUUUAACUGCUGCAUAUUCUCUUAAUAAUAGGCAUCUUUUCUCCAUUGAUCCAGCAGCUUGUAUGACAUUAAAAUUUUGACAUUAUUCAGGAAUAUUUGUAGGCCAGUUUAGCUGCUACAAUGUUAUUUUUCUUUUGCUUCAAUUAUUUACACUACAAGCUUGUUUCGGCUUACUCUCAGUUUCAAGUGUUGCAUCUAGCUCUUAUGAACCAUAAACAUGCUGGAGCUUUUACAUGCUGAUAGAUAACAAUAGAAGCAUGCCAAUUUAAAAGUCUAUUUUUAAUGUUUGCGCCUGACUGUUGCUACUACUAUCAUGUUUUCUUGUCUUUCAGACGCAGACGUCUAAAAUAGACUGGAAAUAUUACUGAAUAGGUUCCUCUCUGCGGUAGUACAGUGUGCUAUUGCUGUGUUCCAAAUAUUUUAUUAUGAUGUCAGCCAAAAUAAUUACAUACCACCCCUAGAAAAAUAAGGCAAUAGAAUUAAAAUAAAAAUAAAAACCUACAACGUAAGUAAACUAGGGGGGGAUGCAACCCCCAAUUUUUUCAUAUAUUAGUUCAUCUCCAUACCACUUGAGGCGCUGCUGUCGGUCUGUGUUUCCCACUUUUAACAUGAGAGUUGCAUUUCUUUUUUUUCUUGUUCUGUGGAAAAUAAUAACAAACACAGAUCUUUCUGUCCUCCAAAAAUUUCGUCUUAAAAGAUAAUACCCGCAAUGCCUUCAACUGGGUGUGGUAACUCCUGUGAACUAUGCCACUUCUCGUGUUUUGCUGUCGCUGGAGUCUUGUUCUGUCAACACCUUCUCUGUAACCGCGGCAUGGGUCCCUCCUUUUCCUCCAUUUUCGUCCCCUGAAGGUAGUGGUUAGUGAUGGGCUCAACUGCGAUUUUCCGAUAUCAGUGAUUUCUGUGAGUGCUACUUUUCACUAUCUGUUAUUCUUAACGGUGAUUUGUCGCAGUUAAGAGUCGCAGUUAAGGAACCUAGGUCGUGUAUCCUUCCGCCACUGCUACUUCCGCGAUUUCUGCUACUUCCGCGAUUUCUGCUACUUCCGCGAUUUCUGUGACUUCUACUACUUCUGCGAUUUCUGCUGCUUCUGCGACUUCUGUUACUUCUGCGAUUUCUGUGACUUUUGCUACUUCUGCGAUUUCUGUGACUCGUGCGAUUUCUGCAACUUACCACCGUAUGAAAAAGUUACAUCUGUCCACACAGAAAAUUGCAUUUCAACAAACCUGUCAUUGGUAAGUAUGUUUUACGUUUGUUCUUCCGUUGGCUUUAACUUUGUAUUAAAGAAACAACUGUGAAAAUAUUAAUAGUGUAAUUGUAAGUAGCCGUACAGUAUCGUAAUAGCUCGUGUUUAGAAAAUGAAUUCUAACAUAUUGUUAUGUUCACAGGUACCCAAACUACAUUUCAGCCACUCAGUAAAGUGAUGACUCAAAAUAUCAUUGUCAACAGAUCUGGAGAAAUUGCCACUGCGUCUUUAGACUGUUUUCGACAGACGAGAGACACAGUUCUGACUCUGAUUACUGGUUGCUGUACAUAUCUAUCCACAUCAAGGCUGUUGGGAGAGACUCGUGAAGAUUCAAGACAGCUCUUAGAGGAUUUGCAGUUUAAAAGUGACAUAAUUGUGAAAUAAGUGUGCAGA